GUUGGAAAUCGAAGCCAAAAAAGCAACAGAUGAACUGUUUGUUUGAGACGUACUUUUUUUGAUUUGUUAAUGGGAGGGCACACAUUUUGCAUUUAAGUUCUUGUUUAUGGGAGGUUAAGAGCCCUUUUUAGGUAACAACAUCAUAUUAGAAAGCAUAUUCCAUUCCCGAUAUUAUCAUAUGUAUUUCUGUUAUUUAAAUGUAAUUUAUGUCUCUUCUUUGGCUAAAAGUGUUUAUAUAUGAUUAACAUUGAAUACAUCUUUGUGUUAUGUAUGUUUAUGUACUUCAGC
rnacentral:lncRNA from 1 species